CCCCUGGCACAACUUAUUGAUGUAGAGCAGCGCCUUGUUCUCCCCGCACUCCACCUCGAUGCAAGGCUCUCCGUUGUCAAAGAAGGGCUGGAAAUCCGGGAUGGAGGAAAACCUCUCCAGCAUCAGGGGAAGAUGGUGGUAAGUUAAACUCACCUUCCAGGCAGUGAGAAGUGGAUUUGCUAACAAGAAAACCAGCCAUUGACAGAGUUAGCAGGGCAGUUUCUAAGCAGUAAGAACCCCUGACACUUUGGUACCAUCUCUCAAUCUCAAAGCAUUGACAGGAGGGGAAAGACCACCACCUCCUCGCACCUCUUUAAGGAAGCUGCUUUUAGCUUAAUUUUACUGGUGAAGAAACUGAAGCGUAAAGAGGUUAAGAUCCAGAAUGUGAACCCUGUACUCAUGCCGGGGUUAUGCAGUUACUCAUGCAGCUACUUAGUCCCGCUUUGAGUAACUACAGGCUAAUAAUACUGGUGACAAGCUCACAUUUGUGCACCAAGUGAUUUGCCUGAGAUCACGCAGGUGCAGUCUUCUGCCCCCUCUUGGCUCUCAGCAGAUAGAUACCCCUCUAUAUUAAAAGUCCGUGCAACCAAUGCACCACCUGUGGGAGAAGCAAUUAUUUCUCACCAGUAAAGGCAGAUGAAAUUGGCUCUCUGGGAUUCAGCAGGAAAUCUGGGAAUGGAAUCGAAGCCCCAAGUCUGAGUCCUCUGUUGGCACUACAUGACCGUGAUCCUUGUUUCUUGCCUAUUGAUUCUCAAGAAAUACAAGCUCUGGGAGCAAUCCUCACUUCUUGCUCUAAUGAAGAAGGCAGAUAUACAUACCCAUCAAACCAUCUCAUUUAGGUUCUCCAGGUCCUUAUUCUUAAUGCCACUGAUUGCUGAAGAUGAUAGGGAAGAAAUCACCUAAUGAACCAGGGACAGUGCUUGGAAGAGACUGGGAGACACAGGCACUCCCUGUGAAAGAACGUAAGAAGAGUCUGGACGGACCUCAAGUGAGAAGGCAAUACAGUGAGCAGAACUGUUUGCUCUUGCACUUCUAGAAGACCUUAGUGGCUGGCAUACCUGGAACUGCAGUGAGCUCUCUGCAAGGCCUAGGAACUACUUCGGACUUUAUUUGGCUUCGUCAUCUUUGUAGCUUGGCUCCAUGGGACUGAUUUCUUUUCCUUUUUUUACAGGGGAGUGGAUAUUUUUUUUCUCAGAGCUUGCUUUCCUUUACAGCCUUAAGGGUUACUACUCUUUCUCCACCUUCAUUCCUAAUGGCAACUUUACCUCCAAGUGUAGAAAGAGCUUGGCCACAGCCCUCUCCAAAGACAGGUUUCCACAGUUCCUCCAGGAAGGGUCACAGGAGAGCAGAACAAGAAUGUCCCUCAACCUCAAGGAACAAGUCCUUCUGGGGUACUUCUAGACUUCUCAGAUCCCUGUGGCUUGGAUGCACACUCGAAUCCCCUAACAGCACUUUGCAUUACCCUACAAUCUGCCGCUAGAAAACAGCUAAGAUGAAACCCUUCCUAACCCAGAGAACUUCUAUUUACCGUUUCUUUUUAAAGGAAAAGGUGACUUGCCACGGGGUUUUCCCACUACAUCUCAGCUCAGUUGCUUCUCCUCUCUAAAGAAACUGGGUUCAAAGCUGGGCCUAGUCAUAAGUGGAGUAAAAAUAUGCUACUCUUCAGGCUAGAAGGGCAGCAUUCACUUGAAUGUGUUUCAUUCCUGGAAAAAGAGGCACUCAUGUCAGUCAUGAUAUGGGUGCAUUGGCCAAGCUGCGUAGGGGUCAGGCACUGAAAGAAUAAGACCUCAUGAUGGCGGCCCAACGUGAGAUGCAUGGUUGAACCAUGAGGGCAGGGUUUCCCACACAGACACAAGGCGCUCUGGCAGCCGUGUGGAGGGAUUCAAGAGGAACAGACCUUAGCUGAUCCUAUCAGUCUCUUAUAAGCACGAAAGUUUACUACCAAGUCCUCCCACUGUAAUAAAAUGCAAGAGCACCGUCUGCAUGGCUGAGUUCAACAGCAGGGAGUCUGAAGUUGUUCAGCUCUUGCCUCUAAUGUUAGAGAUCUUGGUAUUAGGGUAAACAGAUUCACCACUGGAGAAGAGAUCGGAAAGAUCUUAGCAAAUCUACGCACAUACGGUGAGAGAGAGAACUAGCUGUGCUCUGCAAACACCGAACUAAGGAACUGGAAUGUGUUUUAAAGUCUGGGGGCACAAGUCACCAUGUCUUUUUGUUGUGUGUUUCUACAGCACCUAGCAAAGUGAAAGAACAAUUCUUGACUUGCUCGCAGAGGCACUGCCACAAUAAAUGUAAUAAAUAGUGAUCAUUUUCUAACAUCUACUUCCCCACUUCUGGAAUACAUCAUGUAGGGUUUAAACAAAACCUGGACCUUUUAUUUCUCUCACAUCAAACGUAUCAAUGACUGCAAAGAGCUAGCUGUGCUGUAAAGCAUGUUACAAGGAAAGAUGGUAUUGUGCUUCAAGCACAGAUCUGAAAGUAAAGGGAUAAGGACUUUACUCCUUAUUCUGUCACCAGUUUCAUGGACAAAUUACUUAUCCUGGAUAGGCCUCCAUUAUUCUACCUGUAAAAGGAGGGGGAACUUUUUAAACGUAAUUUAUUUAUGUCUGUGACAGUAAACCUUUGGGUUUCUAAGUGAGAUCAAAGGUCCUUUGUGCUAAGUGUUUUAAAAACUCAUUGCAGAUGCAAGCCCUGCCCCUUUACAGGAAAGACAGGUUGAGGCUGGGAGGAAACAGACACACAGGUACAAGUAAAAUGACCAGCCUGUGUUCACAAACUACUCCAGAGCUUCUGUUCUUGCAUGAUUCCACCAUGGAUGCCGUAUGUGCCAUCUCUGGCACCAUUUUGCCUGUGCCUAAGCUAAGCUAAACCAAAAUACACAAUGUUCUGUCAGUGUAGCUGCAUCUACAGCACAGGUUUUGCUGGCCUUGCCAUAGCAGGUGCGGCAUGAGUUUCUCACAACCCAAAUGUAACUACACCAGCAAUGUCCUGUCCUAUAGCCCUGACACCAGAAAAGCUCAGAAAAUCAAACAGGCCUUUCAACAGUUGGGUCAAGUAGCCACUGGAUCAUGUUUCUUCCCCCAAAGAAGCUGGGGUGCUUAGCCCUUUAAUGACUGCAAGUCAACAGCUUCUCUCACCAUGCACCCCAUCUCUCCUACAAAAUUACCUUGACACUAUCACACCAGUGAUGGGAAGCAACAGCCCUGUUCCUGGAACAUGCUACCAAACCACUCUGAGCCUACCAAAAGACAGGAACAAGACCAGUCAAACAGCCACAACACCACUACCUGACCCAGCCAAACUCAUGCCUUCUCUACCAUCCUUUUGGAGUUUCAGAGUACAUCAAGGUUGCCUAACAGCCAAGACCACUGCUUUUGUCCCUUGCUCCUUUCCAGGUGUAGCCCAGCCAUGAUACGCUCUAUGUUCACUGCAGCAUGUGAGCAGCCCAGCCACGCUGCCAGAGCCAUGCUCAGCAGGAUCAGUAUUGGAGGUAAUACUAGCCUCAGGCCAGACUGCUUCAUUAUGAGAGAUAUUUUGACAGCCCAGCAGCAAGAGCAACAGCAGGCAGGGCAUAAGUGGGUAUUCAGGGGAGGAAGGUUAGGAAGGAAGACAUUGCAAAGGGCUUUGCCUCUAAAAAAUGCUUCCUCAGGAACUGCUGGGCUUUAGCCUUUUUAAAUCUAAUUGAUACAGACACCAGCCUUUUACACCAAUUUAUUGAAGUGAAAAAGGAGCACCAUACAGCUCAGUAAGUGGGGUUUUUUUUCUUUCUUUCUUUCUUUCUUUCUUGAAAGUAGGGUUAUGGUAGAAUGAGGUUACACAACAAAAAGAGCUGCAAAUUGCAUACAUCCCUACCUAAUGAAGGCAUUUUCUCUGCUUCCCAAAGAACAGUCUUGGACAGAAGGUGGUAGUUUAAGGAACCUUCUUCUCCUCAAACUAUUUACACAAAAUACCUCUUCCAAAUUCACUUUCCCUACAAGUGCCCUGUAUAGCUAUGAGAAGAGUCUAAGUAGAUUGACGCUCACAAAACAAGAAUAAAAUGUGUGUUGGGGAGGGUCAAAGGAAGUGUUAUCUGGAAGCCAAGGACUAUUUCUAAGCUAGCUGCUCCCUUGUUCUAAAUAAUGACUUCCCAUUCAGGGAACACAUUUGAUCUUUUCUCUCUAGCUUGGUAUAGUGGGUUAUUCUGUGCUGUGAACAGUCACCUGGACUUGUAGCUCAGAGACUUUUGCAUGCUGCUACACGUAGUGCACAGCAAGAAUUAACCAGUGACUGCUGUGCACCAAGAGACCACUGUACUUGCUAUCAGUGGAUAUGGCACUGGACAACCUCCUCAGAUAUAAGGACAGACUCAUCUCUCUUCCUUACUGGAAGAUCGGGUGCAUUGUGGUAGCUUAGAACAGAAACAGCCUUGAGAUCUCUACAACAAGGAGUUUAAAUUCAAAGGAUGUAACCCUGUUUCUGUUAAAACCAAUGGCAAAUUCUUAAUGACUUCACACUUCAGUGUUGCAGUCCCCUUAAUGCAGCGCGAGAGAUUGCCCUUCUCUGCAAAGGUUUUGGAAAACAAGAAGUUUAGCUACAUUCAGGUGGUGCCUGGGUAAUGUAAAAAAGCAGUUACAGAAAUCACCAAUGGAAUAAGGAGUUAAGUGUCAACACUGCGGUUGUAUUAACCAUUCUCUCUGACCCUUUACUCUUAAGGCAAGAGCCCUCUUCUCUGCAGUUCCAGCCACUCUCCAGUUUCCCUGCGCCUCUGUCUGCAUUAACCAUACUUUUUGCCCAUACUGCAAUUAAAAUGCAUCUUUCUCCCCAGUCUCUUCCUCUCUCCUCAGAUGUUAUUUAUUGCUAACUUGCAACUGUUGUGAAAGAUCUGAAAUAUCAAAGCUGUAAUGCAGAAAACCUUCA